rnacentral:lncRNA from 1 species
GGGCGGCCGGGCUGGCGGGGCCGGUCAGGCGCGGUCGGACUGGGCCAGUUCGGCCCAAAGCGGCCGGGCCGGUCCGGUUUACCCUUUUUUUUUCUUUUAGACCUUUUCUUUUUUCUAUUUUUCUCAUUUCUUUGAUAUCUUUUGAGUUUGAACUCCAAAUUGGUCCAAAUAAAUUCCAGAAAAUUUGUAAAAUCAUGUUCUACCAAGAUACAACUUUUGGAAGUAGUUUCUCUUCAAAAUAAAAUAUGUUAAAAUACAUUUGCCCUAUAAAUGCCUUUAGGGCCAUAUAUCUAUUUAAAUAAAAUACUUUUUCAACUCCAAAUAAUUAUCCAAAACUUAUGGGAUAGCUCAUAUGUGCAAUAAACCCCUUUUAUAUAUAAACUUUAAUGGUUUGAAGAUCCAAAGCUCAAAUAGGUGUAAACAAAAUCUUUUAAAGCCUUUUGUGAUUCAAAUUUGAAUUCAAACAUGCAAUUGUGGCAUGAUGCUCAUGGAUGCAAUGCACAUGUAAAGGUUUGAAAUUUUGGGAUGUUACACUGCGUUAGCUCUCUCUGCCUGUCCGUUGCUCCUCGGGGGAGCAACAGAGGCGAAGUGGAUCUUGGUGCCCAUGCCGUUGCAGUAAGCUUGGAACACGGCGCUUGUAAAUUGUGUGCCAUUAUCGGUGAUGAUGCCGUUGGGCACACCAAACCGGCACACAAUGCCCUUGAAGAACUUGAUGGCCGCCUGAGCGGUCACCUUCCGCACUGCUUCCACCUCCACCUUCCGAACUUGUCGAUGGCCACGAGU